UCUUGCGCAAUGGGCGAAAGCCUGACGCAGCAACGCCGCGCGCGGGAAGAAGGCUUUCGGGCUGUAAACCGCUUUCAGCAGGAACGAAAAUGACGGUACCUGCAGAAGAAGGAGCGGCCAACUAUGUGCCAGCAGCCGCGGUGAUACAUAGGCUUCAAGCGUUGUCCGGAUUUAUUGGGCGUAAAGAGUUCGUAGGCGGUCAAGUAGGUCGGGUGUGAAAAUUCUGGGCUUAACCCAGAGACGCCACCCGAUACUGCUUAACUUGAGUUCGAUAGGGGAGUGGGGAAUUCCUAGUGUAGCGGUGAAAUGCGCAGAUAUUAGGAGGAACACCGGUGGCGAAGGCGCCACUCUGAUCGAUACUGACGCGAGGAACGA
rnacentral:rRNA from 1 species